rnacentral:rRNA from 1 species
AUGGCAUACUUCUAUCAGUUGCUUACUUUCAGAGGCAUUGACUGCCCCAUGGAGCCUUUCAUCUGGGACAAAAUCAUCCCUAAAAGGCAUCACAUCUUUCUUUGGGUUGCUAUCAAGGACAGACACAACACAAGGGACAACAUGCUCCAGAAACACUGGACGAGGAUUGCGAAACACAAUGGAUGUGAGCGCUGUCCAGCAGCUGAGACCAUGCUGCAUGUCUUGCUCAGAUGCCAACCGGCUCACGCAGUUUGGUCUAGGGCAAUGCUCAUUGACGAUGCAGUAUCAGCCACAACGCUCAUCAGCUUCAUCACUUCCCUAGCACCGCAAAGGCUGUAUGACAGGCUCUGGAAUAUUUUCUUUGCAGCAUGCGCGGUAGCACUAUGGCGGGCCAGGAAUGCACUAAUCUUCCAAGAUGAGCUCUGGAGUGACAAUAAGACUUUCAGGGAGAUCUUCGAACUACUCACGCUCUGGAGUGUUCAUGCACCAAGGGAUCAUGAGAAGACAAUCCUCAAAACAUGGGCCAGAGAGCUAAGCUGUAACUAG